rnacentral:misc_RNA from 1 species
AACUUUUAACAAUGGAUCUCUUGGCUCUCGCAUCGAUGAAGAACGCAGCGAAUUGCGAUGUGUAAUGUGAAUUGCAGAAUUCAGUGAAUCAUCGAAUCUUUGAACGCACCUUGCGCCCUUUGGUAUUCCGAAGGGCAUGCCUGUUUGAGUGUCAUUGAACAAUCAACUUCACAAACUUUGUGAGGCUUGGACUGUGAGGGCCUGCAGGCAUCCUUGAUGCCGGCUCCCUUUAAAUGGAUCAGCGAGUGCCUUUCCAACUGGCUCUGGAUUGAUAAGUCUGUCUAUCCGUUGCCACCAUCAAAGGCCUGCUUCGAAUCGUCCCUCGGGGACUGUCCUUCGGGGCACACUUUGAUCUUGACCUCAAAUCAGGUAGGACUACCCGCUGAACUUAAGCAUAUCAAUAAGCGGAGGCU